CUGACCGAGGGUAAAGUAAUGGGAACUCCCUCCUCCCUUGGGAACUUCGCAAGCCGGAUCCCGAUCGAUGGGGACGCUCGGUGGAUUUGAGGUGCGACGUUAGAGGUGAAAUUCUUGGAUCGUCGCAAGACGGACCGAAUCGAAAGCAUUUGCCAAGUAUGUUCUCGUCGAUCAAGAACGAAAGUUAGAGGUUCGAAGGCGAUCAGAUACCGCCCUAGUUCUAACCAUAAACUAUGCCUGCCAGCGAUCCGCCGAAGUUCCUCCGAUGACUCGGCGGGCAGCUUCCGGGAAACCAGAGCUUUUGGGUUCCGGGGGAAGUAUGGUUGCAAAGCUGAAACUUAAAGGAAUUGACGGAAGGGCACCACCAGGAGUGGAGCCUGCGGCUUAAUUUGACUCAACACGGGAAAACUCACCAGGCCCGGACACCGGAAGGAUUGACAGAUUGAGAGCUCUUUCUUGAUUCGGUGGGUGGUGGUGCAUGGCCGUUCUUAGUUGGUGGAGCGAUUUGUCUGGUUAAUUCCGAUAACGAACGAGACUCUAGCCUACUAACUAGGCGUACCCGGUAUCCACAAUCGUGCUACCGGCGAUCUAAUUUCUUCUUAGAGGGACGGGCGGCUUCUAUCCGCACGAGACUGAUCAAUAACAGGUCUGUGAUGACCUUAUUUGUCCUUGGCUUGA
rnacentral:rRNA from 1 species